CUGCCACAGACGACGGAACGUGGGUCUGAAAGUCAGGGAAAUAGCCGACCUAGUAGUCCUACUUGGUGAGAAGUGAGGGAAUAUGCAUUAUCCACCGUCGAAUGUCAAAGCAUGGUAUAAGAGUCUCUGGCUUGAAUAAUUCCACUGACAUCGCAACGUUGGAUGCUGGGUGAUUACAGGGAUCCCAGGAUCUCAUCCAAAUUCUGGGUUCAGAAUGAUGCAAGGACAUCUCUGGUUCCGAUGUACAAAGGUUCAGAGACUUCGUGUGCAAGAAUCCAUGCCACGUCUGGAUCCACCGGGAAUUGUCCGCACACUACAACUACAAACUGUUCGCCGUAGAACAGGGGUCUCCAACCCAGUCCUCAAGGCCCACUGUGGGUCCUGGUUUUUGUUCCAGC